rnacentral:ncRNA from 1 species
AAAAGACUUAGUCCUAACCUUACCGUUAAUUUUCCACUCGACAUAUACAUGCAAGUAUCCGCACUCCAGUGCAAACGCCCCAACCUCUUACCAAGACGAAAGGAGCGGGCAUCAGGCGCGCCCACAAUGCAGCCCAAGACGCCUCGCCCAGCCACACCCCCACGGGUACUCAGCAGUAAUUAACAUUAAGCAAUAGGCGAAAGCCUGACUUAGUCAGAGCAAACAGGGCCGGUAAAUCUUGUGCCAGCUACCGCGGUCAUACAAGAGGCCCAAAUUAACUGUACACGGCGUAAAGAGUGGACCCCGAUUAUCAUAAUUAACUAAGAUGAAAUUAUAGUCUAAGCUGUCAUAAGCCCAAGACAUUCAGAAGCACCCCAAAACUUAUCUUAGCACUCAUGAUCCAUCUACACCACGAAAGCCAGGAUACAAACUGGGAUUAGAUACCCCACUAUGCCUGGCCCUAAAUUUCGAUGUUUACCACACAAAACCAUCCGCCUGAGAACUACGAGCAUAAACGCUUAAAACUCUAAGGACUUGGCGGUGCCCUAAACCCACCUAGAGGAGCCUGUUCUAUAAUCGAUAACCCACGAUACACCCGACCCCUCCUUGCCAAAACAGCCUACAUACCGCCGUCGCCAGCCCACCUUCAUGAAAGCAUAACAGUGAGCCCAAUAGUCCACAAUCACUAACAAGACAGGUCAAGGUAUAGCCUACGGAGCGGAAGAAAUGGGCUACAUUUUCUAAAAUAGACCAACCCAACGGAAAGAGACCUGAAACCCGCCUCUAGAAGGUGGAUUUAGCAGUAAAGAGGGACAAUGGUGCCCUCUUUAAGACGGCUCUAGGGCACGUACACACCGCCCGUCACCCUCCUCGCAAGCCACUCCAACACUAACUAAAGCAUCAAACAGCUGAAGAUGAGGCAAGUCGUAACAAGGUAAGUGUACCGGAAGGUGCACUUAGCACAC